rnacentral:rRNA from 1 species
UACGUAGGGUGCAAGCGUUAUCCGGAAUUAUUGGGCGUAAAGAGCUCGUAGGCGGUUUGUCACGUCUGCUGCGAAAACUGGAGGCUCAACCUCCAGCCUGCAGUGGGUACGGGCAGACUAGAGUGCGGUAGGGGAGAUUGGAAUUCCUGGUGUAGCGGUGGAAUGCGCAGAUAUCAGGAGGAACACCGAUGGCGAAGGCAGAUCUCUGGGCCGUAACUGACGCUGAGGAGCGAAAGCAUGGGGAGCGAACAGG